rnacentral:rRNA from 1 species
UGAGGAAUUUUGCGCAAUGGGGGAAACCCUGACGCAGCAACGCCGCGUGAGUGAAGAAGGCUUUCGGGUCGUAAAGCUCUGUCAAAUGGGAAAAAACACUAUCGAUGAAUAGUCGAUAGAAUUGAUGGUACCAUUAGAGGAAGCACCGGCUAACUCCGUGCCAGCAGCCGCGGUAAUACGGAGGGUGCGAGCGUUGUUCGGAAUUAUUGGGCGUAAAGAGCGUGUAGGCGGUUCGGUAAGUCAGAUGUGAAAGCCCUGGGCUCAACCCAGGAAGUGCAUUUGAUACUGCCAUUCUUGAGUAUGGGAGAGGAGAGUGGAAUUCCCAGUGUAGAGGUGAAAUUCGUAGAUAUUGGGAAGAACACCCGUGGCGAAGGCGACUCUCGGGACCAAUACUGACGCUGAGACGCGAAAGCGUGGGGAGCAAACAGG